AAGACCUUGCACUUUUGGAGCGGCCGAUGUCUGAUUAGCUAGUUGGUGGGGUAAUGGCCUACCAAAGCUUCGAUCAGUAGCUGGUCUGAGAGGACGGCCAGCCACACUGGGACUGAGACACGGCCCAGACUCCUACGGGAGGCAGCAGUGGGGAAUUUUGGACAAUGGGCGCAAGCCUGAUCCAGCCAUGCCGCGUGAGUGAAGAAGGCCUUCGGGUUGUAAAGCUCUUUCAGCCGGGAAGAAAAGGUUGCGACUAAUAAUCGCAAUCCAUGACGGUACCGAAAGAAGAAGCACCGGCUAACUACGUGCCAGCAGCCGCGGUAAUACGUAGGGUGCGAGCGUUAAUCGGAAUUACUGGGCGUAAAGGGUGCGCAGGCGGUUUUGUAAGUCAGAUGUGAAAUCCCCGGGCUUAACCUGGGAACU
rnacentral:rRNA from 1 species